rnacentral:rRNA from 1 species
AGGAUGAACGCUAGCGGCGUGCCUAACACAUGCAAGUCGAACGUGAAGGGGUACUUGUAUCCCUGAAAGUGGCGGACGGGUGAGUAAGACGUAGGUGACCUGCCUUGGAGUGGGGGAUAACCCUUGGAAACGAUGGCUAAUACCGCAUGACGUUGUUGGAUUGGGAAAUUUGACAACCAAAGCUCAGGCGCUUGAAGAGGGGCCUACGGCCGAUUAGCUAGUUGGUGGGGUAAGAGCCUACCAAGGCGAUGAUCGGUAGCUGGUCUGAGAGGACGAUCAGCCACACGGGAACUGAGACACGGUCCCGACUCCUACGGGGGGCAGCAGUGAGGAAUAUUCGGCAAUGGGGGGAACCCUGACCGAGCAACGCCGCGUGGAGGAUGACGGUUUUCGGAUUGUAAACUCCUUUUCUGGGGGAAGAGCAAGGACGGUACCCCAGGAAUCAGUCACGGCUAACUACGUGCCAGCAGCCGC